GAUGAACGCUGGCGGCGUGCCUAAUACAUGCAAGUCGAGCGAACAGAUGAGGAGCUUGCUCCUCUGACGUUAGCGGCGGACGGGUGAGUAACACGUGGAUAACCUACCUAUAAGACUGGGAUAACUUCGGGAAACCGGAGCUAAUACCGGAUAAUAUAUUGAACCGCAUGGUUCAAUAGUUAAAGACGGUUUUGCUGUCACUUAUAGCUGGAUCCGCGCCGCAUUAGCUAGUUGGUAAGGUAACGGCUUACCAAGGCAACGAUGCGUAGCCGACCUGAGAGGGUGAUCGGCCACACUGGAACUGAGACACGGUCCAGACUCCUACGGGAGGCAGCAGUAGGGAAUCUUCCGCAAUGGGCGAAAGCCUGACGGAGCAACGCCGCGUGAGUGAUGAAGGUCUUCGGAUCGUAAAACUCUGUUAUUAGGGAAGAACAAAUGUGUAAGUAACUAUGCACGUCUUGACGGUACCUAAUCAGAAAGCCACGGCUAACUACGUG
rnacentral:rRNA from 1 species